GACGAACGCUGGCGGCGUGCUUAACACAUGCAAGUCGAACGGAAAGGCCCUGCUUUUGUGGGGUGCUCGAGUGGCGAACGGGUGAGUAACACGUGAGUAACCUGCCCUUGACUUUGGGAUAACUUCAGGAAACUGGGGCUCAUACCGGAUAGGAGCUCCUGCUGCCUGGUGGGGGUUGGCCCGUUUCGGCGGUUGGGGAGGGACUCGCGGCUUAUCCGCUUGUUGGUGGGGUAGUGGCUUACCAAGGCGUUGACGGGUAGCCGGCCUGAGAGGGGGACCGGCCACAGUGGGACUGAGAUACGGCCCAGACGACGACGGGAGGCAGCAGUGGGGAAGAGUGCACAAGGGGCGGAAGCCUGAUGCAGCAAAGCCGCGUGCGGGAUGACGGCCUUCGGGUUGGAAACCGCUGUCGCCUGUGACGAAGCGUGAGUGACGGUAAUGGGUAAAGAAGCACCGGCUAACUACGUG
rnacentral:rRNA from 1 species